GUUAGGAAUAUUGGACAAUGGGCGCAAGCCUGAUCCAGCCAUGCCGCGUGAGUGAUGAAGGCCUUCGGGUUGUAAAGCUCUUUAGUCCACGAAUAUAAUGACUGUAGUGGAAGAAUAAGCCCCGGCUAACUUCGUGCCAGCAGCCGCGGUAAUACGAAGGGGGCGAGCGUUAUUCGGAAUCACUGGGCGUAAAGCGUGCGUAGGCUGUUUUGUAAGUCAGAAGUGAAAGCCCAGGGCUUAACCCUGAAAUUGCUUUGGAAACUCGAAGACUCGAAUUCGGGAGAGGAUAGCGGAAUUGUCAGGGUAGCAGUGAAAUGCGUAGAUAUUGACAGGAACACCAGUGGCGCAAGCGGCUAUCUGGACCGAUAUUGACGCUGAGGCACGAAAGCGUGGGGAGCAAACAGGAUUAGAAACCCCAGUAGUCC
rnacentral:rRNA from 1 species